rnacentral:rRNA from 1 species
UACGAAGGGGGCUAGCGUUGCUCGGAUUGACUGGGCGUAAAGGGCGCGUAGGCGGUUCGUACAGUCAGACGUGAAAUUCCUGGGCUCAACCUGGGGGCUGCGUUUGAUACGUGCGGACUUGAGUGCGGAAGAGGGUCGUGGAAUUCCCAGUGUAGAGGUGAAAUUCGUAGAUAUUGGGAAGAACACCGGUGGCGAAGGCGGCCCGCUGGACAAGUAUUGACGCUGAGGUGCGAAAGCGUGGGGAGCAAACAGG